CCAGGGGGCAGCUUACCAUGCAAGUCGAGCGGAACGAUGGUAGCUUGCUACCAGGCGUCGAGCGGCGGACGGGUGAGUAAUACUUAGGAAUCUACCUAGUAGUGGGGGAUAGCACGGGGAAACUCGUAUUAAUACCGCAUACGACCUACGGGAGAAAGGGGGCAGUUUACUGCUCUCGCUAUUAGAUGAGCCUAAGUCGGAUUAGCUAGAUGGUGGGGUAAAGGCCUACCAUGGCGACGAUCUGUAGCUGGUCUGAGAGGAUGAUCAGCCACACCGGGACUGAGACACGGCCCGGACUCCUACGGGAGGCAGCAGUGGGGAAUAUUGGACAAUGGGGGAAACCCUGAUCCAGCCAUGCCGCGUGUGUGAAGAAGGCCUUUUGGUUGUAAAGCACUUUAAGCAGUGAAGAAGACUCUUCGGUUAAUACCCGGAGACGAUGACAUUAGCUGCAGAAUAAGCACCGGCUAACUCUGUGCCAGCAGCCGCGGUAAUACAGAGGGUGCAAGCGUUAAUCGGAAUUACUGGGCGUAAAGCGAGCGUAGGUGGCUUGAUAAGUCAGAUGUGAAAUCCCCGGGCUUAACCUGGGAACUGCAUCUGAAACUGUUAGGCUAGAGUAGGUGAGAGGGAAGUAGAAUUUCAGGUGUAGCGGUGAAAUGCGUAGAGAUCUGAAGGAAUACCGAUGGCGAAGGCAGCUUCCUGGCAUCAUACUGACACUGAGGCUCGAAAGCGUGGGUAGCAAACAGGAUUAGAUACCCUGGUAGUCCACGCCGUAAACGAUGUCUACUAGUCGUUGGGUCCCUUGAGGACUUAGUGACGCAGCUAACGCAAUAAGUAGACCGCCUGGGGAGUACGGCCGCAAGGUUAAAACUCAAAUGAAUUGACGGGGGCCCGCACAAGCGGUGGAGCAUGUGGUUUAAUUCGAUGCAACGCGAAGAACCUUACCUGGUCUUGACAUAUCUAGAAUCCUGCAGAGAUGCGGGAGUGCCUUCGGGAAUUAGAAUACAGGUGCUGCAUGGCUGUCGUCAGCCCGUGUC
rnacentral:rRNA from 1 species